ACCGGCGAUAAGGACUGGGGGCUCUGGGGCCGGCAGCCCCAUGCCCCCUGCCCUCUGCCAGGGCAAGAACACGGGGUGGGGGAAGGUCAGUGCCAGCGCGACACCUGCAAGGACCCCAGGGUUCCCACCAUCCUGGGCCUUCCACCAUGGAGAGGGGGCUAGGGAGCCUCCCAAAGAGGCCAAGGCAGGGAGAAGGUGGCCUGCCCCAGGAACCUGGCAGGACAGCGACGGCCAACUGCCACGGGCUCCUGCUGGGAAGCUUCACAGCUUAUCUCUCAAGUCAGGCAAAAUACCCUGAGGGCAAAGCGUCUCCAAAGGAAACCAAAACUACCCUCUCAAGAAAUCAGGACUGCCCUGAGCCAGCAAGACCUCUGUGAUUGACCCCAAGACAAAGACCUGACCUUCACUGCCCACCUGCAGGAGUACAGGAAGCCAGAGAUGCUGAGAGUCUCACUCCACAGACACCAAGAACGGAGGACCCAGCACACCAGGGCAAUGCCUCAGAGGGAGUGUCCCCAGAAAGCCCUCCACGGUCUCCCUGCCCAGAAGCCACCAAGCCACUGCUCACAGGACCUCAUGGGCAAUCCUUUCUAUAGCAAGAUGGUUCUGCCAGGGGCAGCAGUCACGUGUUCUGCCGCAUCCCCACUUCCUGUGUCUACACAUUCAAGCACAGCAGGUACCACCAUCAUCCAAAGAUGGGGUGACGCAGGUGGUCUGAGGGAAUUCAGCUCAGACUUGAGUGAUAUUCAGCUUGAGGGAAUUCAGCUCAGACUUGAGGACAUAUAUGUCCUGUUCUCCCUCCCUAACCCCAACUUGGAGUCCUCAGAAUCUUCUGGCACAAAGUUUGGCUAGAGUAGUCACCUUUCGUGUUAAUGAAUAGCUAGGGAAUCACUGAUCGGUAUGCAAGGAAUGGGGUUGAAUUUAAUAAACAUCAGGAUAUUUUCUUGGA